CACUUCCCGUCCCUGCAACCGAUCGGAUGGUCCUGUGGUUUCGUCAAACUAGCCAGCCCGAUUUUGGGGCUGUCCAGGAAGUUGCAUAAAUAGAGCCGUCUAAACGAUGCAAAAGUCGAAACAGUUUCCGAAUGUCAACCUGCGGAAG
rnacentral:ncRNA from 1 species